GUCGUGGUGAACUUCCAGUCGGUCGCCAACGCGCCGAAGCUGCGGCAGUCCAAGUUCAAGAUUGGUGGAAAUGAGAAAUUUGCGAGGGUGGUUGAAUUUCUUCGCCGCCAAAUUCACCAGGACACAGUGUUUCUCUAUGUGAAUAGUGCAUUUUCGCCGAAUCCAGAUGAGUUGAUAUCUGAUUUAUACAAUAACUUUGGAAUCGAUGGGCAGCUGGUGGUCAAUUACGCAUCAUCCAUGGCAUGGGGGUAA
rnacentral:rRNA from 1 species